CGCGUAGGCGGUUUGUUAAGUCGGAUGUGAAAGCCCCGGGCUCAACCUGGGAACUGCAUUCGAUACUGGCAGGCUCGAGUAUGGUAGAGGGAAGUGGAAUUCCGGGUGUAGCGGUGAAAUGCGUAGAUAUCCGGAGGAACAUCAGUGGCGAAGGCGGCUUCCUGGACCAAUACUGACGCUGAGGUGCGAAAGCGUGGGGAGCAAACA
rnacentral:rRNA from 1 species